rnacentral:tRNA from 1 species
AAAGGAUUCAUUUAUAAAAGAUAUAAAAUUUCGAAUUUUAAUAAUAUAGUGUAUCUAUAAUUCUUUA